UUAUUGCUGUUGUUAUUAUUAUAAAAAGACAGACAAAAGAUGGUCAAACGCGUAUUUAUGGUAUCAUAUCAUUUAUAUAAUUUAUAACAUCUAUUAUAUAAGUGCAACUAUAAAUAUAAUUGGCGAAGUAAAAAAUACAUUUCUAGAUGCAUCUUUACAGCUAUUUCAAAACUUUCUCAGUGAUUAGUUGAAUCCAGAAUGUGCGUUCCUCAAACUGGUGUACACACUGAUAUAACAAACACUCAUCAAGCAAGUAGAAAUUAUUAUCAACUCAUAGCCUGAAACAUUUAUAUAUUUAGGUUGGAGGUUUUGAAGCGCUGAAUUUUUUUCUUCAGAAGUAGUGGCAAAUGCUUUAUUAUGAAUAUUAAUUUUAUUAUUAGCCACAAGGGUCGAACAAAACGAAAUGGGAUAAUACAAUACAAGAGACUAGUGGAGCUUAGCACAAUAUUCGGAAAUAAAAAUAAAAUACAGCAAUAACAAUUAACAAUAAAAUUAAACCAUAAAAUUCCCCAAAAUAGGGCAGUUCCUCCUAGGGUCAACCAAGGAACUUCAUACAUCCUGAUCAGCCCGACUGCCAAGGGUACCGCAGCCAGAUUACCUCACUGCUUCUCAAGCGUUUAUUAAGAGUAAGCCCAUUCACACGGACCAUCCUUGCUACAUUCACCCACUUUAAGGACCAAACCAGAGAAGGAAAAAGAUUAUGGAAGGUUAAGACAAUGAUUUUUUCCUGUGGUAAUUGUUGCACUUGGAACAACACUCAAAAUGCUACCCAACAAUUUGGACGAUAUAGAAAUGGAGACUCGCUCUGUCAGCCUGCAAAAUCUCAGUCAGAUAUCCUGCGAAAAUCUUAAGAAAUGUUCUUGAAAUUGAAUUUGUCACCAAACCACAAGAUAACGCUCCUACUAAUGAAACCAGCAUAUAAUAGCUUUGGGACAAUAACAAUAAUGAUAACGAAGGCGAUGGUUUCUUUUAAUUACCAAGGGGCAUCAAGUGAGGAGGAAAUUAUAAAGACAGGUAACAGUUGAUGUAGGGGGUACAUAAAAUCGGGUAAAAAAUAUAUAGAUUGUAUACAAAAUGUGUGAAUACUCGGAUAAUAUUGGAAAUCCUCCGAAUAGAACUAAUCAAGGAAUCCGGCAGAUCCAAGACGACCCUCAUCACCAAUAGCACGAACUCUCAUCCAGCUAAGACUUAUUUCAUUCACCCUCACCAUUUUUGCUAUAAUCGCCCAUCUCUUGAUAAAUUUACUGGAAGCGAGAAAAUUUCUUGAUUUACAUAAAUGUUUUUGUUUCGUUUAUAUUGCACAAAUUUAUUAAUUUUCAUAGCAGUUACAUAAGAGUUAUUGAUCUUCAUAAUGUUGUUUCAUUGAGUUAUUAAAUGUAUCGGUCAUGUCUUCGAUGUUGUUCCACAAAGUUAAAGUAUUUAAAAGUGUUACACACGAAGAUGCGAAUGUAAACGGUAUAACACUAAUAAAGCCAGAAAUUUGUGGGAUGGUUACACCUGUGUAAAACGACCUCAGUAUAUGACUGGUACCUUAUUUUAUCGACUCCGGAAGGAUGAAAGAGAAAGCACCCGAGUGUCGCACUUGAAACAAUACCCAAAAUGCUAUCUAAGAGACAGAAGGGUAUUGGAACUGAGACUUGCAUUGUCAACAUGCAGAGAAGUGCAAUUCUGUAUCCUGCAAAAAUUCUAAGACAUAUUCUUCAAACAUGAGCAUCAAAACAGCAUCUCUGCUAAGUGAUAUAGCAUGCAAAUAGUUUUAAUAAUAAUAAUAAUAAUGAUGAUGAUGAGAUGGAGGAGGAAUAUUUUCAUUAUUAACCCUCAAGGGCUCAAAGAAGACAAAUAUGGUAGGGUGUUUGUGUAAGAUUAGUGGGCCGCAUUAAACUAAUUCUCCGGUAGAAAGGGUAGCUGCUUAGCGGGCUAAUGAAGGAAACUCCACGAAAUCUCAAUGGCCAUGAUUUUCAAGGCAAGAAGCCCUCACUUGUUUCCCGGCCUAGAUGUGCAAUCUGAGAGUAAACCCGUUCAACGUACCUAGUAUUCUCUACUCUCAACCACCACACAAAGAAUUUACUGGAAGCGGAGAGGAACCGGGGUUUCCUUUUUCCACCCUGAAUUAUUUUUUUUAAGUAGAUGCAUGAUGAUCAGGAAUCAACUUUUCAGUUGCAUUUUUAUUUAUUUUUAUAUUACUAAACAAUGAAGGGCGUGAACUUGUAGAAUCGUAAGCAUGCCGGGCAAAAUGCUUAGUGGCACUUCGUCCGUCUUUACGUUCUGAAUUCAAAUUCUGCCGAAGUCGACUUCACCUUUCAUCCUUUCGGAGUCGAUUAAAUAAGUACCAGUUAAACACUGGGGUCGAUGUCAUCGACUUAUCCUUCCACCGAACUUGCUGGCCUUGUGCCAAAAUUUGAAACCAAUAUUACUAAAAAUGAUGAUGAUGGUGACGACAGUGGAAUCCCGUUGGUAGUGUUAACAGUGAUAACAAUGGUAUGAACGUCAGGGAAAUGGCGUGUGUGUGUGUAGUGAAAGCGCGUGGCUUAGUGGUUAGGGUAUUCGGUUUAUGAUCGUGAGGUCGUGAGUUCAAUUUCCGACCACGCGUUAUGUCCUUGAGCAAGUAAGACACUUUAUUCCACUUAGCUGGCAAAAAUGAGUUGUACCAGUAUUUCAAAGGGUCAUCCUUGACACACUCUAUGUCCUGCAGAAUCUCCCUAAGAACUAUUUUAAGAGUACACGUAUCUGUGAAGUGCUCAGCCACAUGCAUGUUAACUAUUCCGUUGAUGGAUCAGCUGGAACAUUCGUCGUCGUAACCGACGGAGUGGCAUAUGUGUGUAUAUAUUUCUGUGUAUAUAUAUGCGUGUUUGAGUGUUGAGUGUAUGUAAAAUCUUAUUGGCAUAUGUUGCUACCUUCAAAUGAUGAAAUUAUUACUCACAGAGUCUAUAUAAAUGAUAACAAUAAUUAUAAUAAUCGUUAUCGUUAUAAUGCUUUGUCAUUAUAGUCGACAUAAGAGCGGCAGGCAUCGUCAGGCGACGGUAAACUCUGGGUAGACUGGCAUCCAGUGCCAGAUCAACCCGAUUCACUUGAACUUUUCUUUAUUAAUGCUACACCACUCAAACUCCCAUUUCUCAUGUAUCCUUCACAGGAUUCCAGUCGGGUUCAGAUAAGAUUAAACACACGCGCAAAAAAAAAAAAAAUGAUUAAAAUUAAAAUUUAAUAAAAAAUUUCAAUGACUGCGAUCCAGUUUUUUUUUAAUAUAUAUAUUUCAUCAACCUAUCUGCCUUUCAUAUCUUUUCCUGUUCUUAAAUCGCUUUUUCUUCCCUUAAAUUUAUUACAAAUACCCAUUCGCUUAUUAUUAACAUUGUUGUUGUUACUAUUAUUAUUAUUAUUAUUAUUAUUAUUAUUAUUAUUAUUAUUAUUAUUAUUAUUAUUAUCAUUAUUCCGCUUGUCGCGCAGCAUUUAUUGCUGGUGGUAUUAUACCGGUCCUCAACCAGUGGCCUGAGGUGACACCUCCAAUUGUCAAGCACUUUUCGAAGUAUUCUAGCGGUUAUUUAUUUUUUUUCUGUGAGUGUCCCUACCUGAUACUAAAACCGAUUUA